GGGAUAAAAUUGCCCUUAAGCAACAAAAUUUGCCAGUAUUGAAUAUAUACGCCUAUUACCUCAUACGUGUCUGUUACAAUGAAACACCAACUUUGGGCGCAUAAAACAAGCAUAAUCAAAAUAUCAUUGACCCAAUACUGUGACCAGAUCUCUGCCAUUUUUCAUUGUAUACUAUAAGUUCUCUUUCAUUAAAGAGAACAGAUUUGAUACCUGACCCGUUCAGAGCAAUUGCAGUUAUAGCACCUCUUUAAACUAUCUCUUGAUAUCUAGAGGAAGCAAUUCGAUCCAGCUCUUCUUCUCACCCCACACAAUGAAAAGACAAAAUUCUCAGUUUGCAUUACAUUAGCCGUCAAGUCGUCUUAAAUAUAACUCACAUUCCCCGCAGGUUUACAUUAGGGAUUAAGUGUCUUCAUUCGCAAUAACUCUGGAAAUAAAUUAAAUGAAAGGAGGCACAGCCUUUGGCUCUUUUUUUGGUUCUUCAUUUCAAACUCUAAUUUUUAGAUAGCACUUUUGUUUUAUCCAUCUGGCACUUGGCCACAGCAGUGGCGCCUAAGGAUAUUUGAGGAUAAAAUGUAAAAUGUUUUUAUAAAACAUCUUCCCUUUCCCUUCCCCCUUCUAUUACUUUUACAUAGAGGUGAUCAUUUUUCUCAGCAAUUUCCGAAUUUUGAGGCAGAUGAAUUGUUGCAUGUGAACUUGAUUGCUUUGCAGCUCAACUUAGAAUUCCCAAUUUUCCAUAGGAGGUCCAUCACAUACUCUGUGAUGAGCCAUCUAGUUCAUAAUGACUGGUCUGACAGCGGUGCAUGCAAAACUUGAUGAAAGAUUCUCGCAAUGCAGAAUCUUCUCCUACCACCUUUGGAAAACACUUCUAAAGCACCAUGUGACUCACUGUUAUGAAAAUAUCUCUGAUCUACAUCUUAAUGCUGUCACUGCUGGAAUUCCAUGCCAAAUUACCCGUGGUGUUUGCAAGCUCUUCUACAUCCGUAAUAUCUGAAAUAGAUUAAUUUGGUUUCUCCUCUGCAUGCAAGACAUAAAUGCUCGUUUCUAAGCACGGGGGGCUGAAGAUCUGGUUAAAAUGUUCUGAUUUUUUCUAUAUUAAAGAAGAAUGAACAAAACAUGGUAAAAACAUUCCAUUUAUUUUUAGGUUAGAUUGUGGUCUAGGUUCUCCUUUUGAAGCGAUUUUGCCUAGCAGAUCAGCGUGUGCUGCUUCCGAACUUUAUCAGUAGUUGACCAAAAAGGAAAGGAAGGCACGCUGAAGCAUGGAAAUGUUUCCUUCCAUGCUGCCUAACUAGAGCAGACAGCAUAUUUUUAUGUAUACAUGUGAUAUUUUUCCCUUAUAUUCUUGAGACUUCUCAAAAAAUUGAGAAGACUAAGGACUACUUCCAAAUUUUUCACUCCCAAAAAGUUGGCUUUGACAUGUCUUCCCUCCAGCACCCCCCUUCCCCUCAGCUUUCCUUUGAUUGGUGUGUUUUAUUCAAUUACCACUGUUUUGCUUCACAUUAUGACUAAGUAGGCUUUUAAUAUUAACACCUGAGCACAAAAAAUCAGAAUUAAGAAACUGUCCCACUGGAUUUAAAGCUUUAUGCCAGAUGGUUCAAAUAGUCAGGGAUAUCUCAGCCAUAGAAAUAAGGUGCUCGGUGUUUGGCACUGCCAGUUUCAACAAGCUUAGGCUCUUAUGGAAUGUGAGUCAUACAGAAAGGAGUGAAGCAGCUAAAAAAAACCCAACAAAAAAUAAAAGAAAUAGUAAAUACUUUGUUGUGAUUUAGCAGCCUACUUGGAAACAGAAAACAGAAUACUGUUUAGGUUUAUGGCAGAUGAAGAGAGCAAGUUUCUUGUUCUUGAAUACAUGUAUAUAUAAAGUUCUGGUUUAACCUAGCGAGGCCAUAAGUAGCCUUGACUGUGGAAAAGUGUAUUUAUAUGAUAUAUCCUCCUGGCCUUUUAAAAUUGAAACUGUGUUACUUCUGCUGGAAGGUUUUUCCUUAUCUAUCCUGCAACUUGUCCUUUUCCUUUCACUAUUUCAGGUGCAGGCAAAACCCAGCGAUGUCUCACCGCCAGGAAAAAUUUGCACAAGUAGGAUGGGAAAUGGCCGCGGAUUCCUGUUCCUUUUCCACAUUUGCAGCAGUCAUCAGUGAACAUACCUUGGAGUUUCCGCUUGGCAAUGCACCCAUAUGGAGAUAAAUGACUUCAAAUGCACCUUUAAGCAAUUGUGGAAAUUUCUAAGCUAAGAACUUAUUCAUAUGAAAUUGCGAUAAAGCUCCGAACAUGAACUGAAAUUUGAAAACUGGAGCUUUUGGCUGCCUUUCAAGUGUCCGGUAAUGUGUUUCACAGAUUGAUUGAAUGGAUGAAUUCAGAGAUUCAGUCCUGAAGGCAGAGAUACAUGGCUCUUCACACAGCUGUAGGCGUUCCUUUUUCUGCCUGUGGUUUGCUACCUACUUCACGAUGCCCACUGUAUAAAUGAGACGAGGCGGGAGGAUGAGCCUCUUUCAAAGCACCGUCUGUUUGAAUUAACAAAGGUAAGAUUCUGUUAAUUUACAAAUGUUCUGCCACAAGUAUGCAACUGAGUUUCCACCCAUUGAGCUUCACUGGCUAAAAAGCUUUAGUUUGUUGUACUCCCUUUAAUUCAAAUCAAUGGAAGUCUGGGGGAAAGAAACAGCCAAGUAAACAAGGAAGUGGUUUAUGUUUGGGCUUAUCUUUUCAUUUUCUGGCAGAUGGGUUUGUUUUCUUUUAACAGCCACCUUUGGAAGUCAGUAUGGUAUUUUGUCAUUUCUUUGUAAAAAAAGAAAAAAAAAGUAACAGCUCCGAAUCUUUAUCAUAUUGAUUGUUUAACGAGUUUUCAUCUGGGGUCCAAGAUCAUACACAGCAUUGUUAUUGCAUUAUUAUUUUUCAUUUGUAGCGUAUUGAUUUGCUGCCAGUAGCUUACAGGGCAAUUUACAAAAAGAUGGGGUAUGAUUUAUUUUUUACUAAAAGAGUCUGCCACGAUGGGAAUGCUUCCAUAAGCCCGUCAGACCUCUACGUUUGUGUUUUCUUCUCUCAGGAGUGCAACACAUCCGUAGAUUAGUGACACAGUUCCACCUGGAUUUCCCCCAGAGUAUCCAUGACGUACAUAUAAUUCAUACAAAUAAGUGGCUACACGUAAGCCUACACUUAAAUUAGAAUUUUACUCCUGAGGAAUAGUUGUUUUCUUCUAUCUCCGUGUAUAACUCAGGAAAAACACACAAAGUCAGUAUAGAUAUACUGCUAUAAAAGAGAUGGGAGGGGAGACUUCACAUGUGUGACCACAGCAAGCUACCAGGGUUUAACAUCUCCAAAGGCCAGGUACUAAAAAUACUCAUGGAAAAUGAUGCUUAGCGCUGGCCAGGCCGAUGGUGGCACUGACAGAGUGUCCUUUCUGCACGCUCAGUACCUCACCCUAUCCCACGGAGCUGCAACACCUUUCCCAAGUGAUUGUGGGGGACCACUGUUCAGCCCAGUUGAGAGCCCACGGGCAUUACAGCUCUUUGAGCUUGACCUGCCUUUGGAGCAGGGCUGGAGCGUUGCUACCACAUUUGCUGUUAGAAGGCCCAUAGUUGAAAGAAAAUAGGAAAUCUUAACCAAGUUUUCCCUUAUUAUUUUUAUUUGAUUUACCAUCCUUAAAACUUUGCUAUCGGGAGAGUAGCAAGAGCUACUGGGCAAGAAUGAAGCAAGAGUUUCUAAGUUUCAGUACAGAGACAUUUGGACUUCCAUAACAAAAAUCAGAUAAUUCUUUUAGAACGUGAGAUGGUUGAAAAUUAUCAAUUAGUAGAAGGCCUGAUUGAACUUAUUGCCGAUUACCACCUGUAGUCUAUUGUCAAGUUCAAGGUCAAGGUCAAGGUCAUGGUCAAGGUCAAGUUCAAGUUCAUUGCCAAGUUCAAGGUCAAUACAAUCACAAAUUUAUUGUAAACAUAUACUUCUAUAAUACAUUUAAAUAUUGUGUUUCAAGGUCAAUGACUAUUUUUAAAAAAAUAGGUUUAGAGCCACUAUACAGUGAUGUGGGAGGAACCUGCGGCCUAUUAAGGUCAUGGUCAAGUUCAAGUUCAUGGUCAAGUUCAAGUUCAUUGCCA